GCAGUCGAGCGAGCAUAACCAGCAGAUUUACUUCGGUAAUGACGCUGGGGACGCGAGCGGCGGAUGGGUGAGUAACACGUGGGGAACCUGCCCCAUAGCCUGGGAUACCACUUGGAAACAGGUGCUAAUACCGGAUAAGAAAGCAGAUCGCAUGAUCAGCUUAUAAAAGGCGGCGUAAGCUGUCGCUAUGGGAUGGCCCCGCGGUGCAUUAGCUAGUUGGUAAGGUAACGGCUUACCAAGGCAAUGAUGCAUAGCCGAGUUGAGAGACUGAUCGGCCACAUUGGGACUGAGACACGGCCCAAACUCCUACGGGAGGCAGCAGUAGGGAAUCUUCCACAAUGGACGCAAGUCUGAUGGAGCAACGCCGCGUGAGUGAAGAAGGUUUUCGGAUCGUAAAGCUCUGUUGUUGGUGAAGAAGGAUAGAGGUAGUAACUGGCCUUUAUUUGACGGUAAUCAACCAGAAAGUCACGGCUAACUACGUGCCAGCAGCCGCGGUAAUACGUAGGUGGCAAGCGUUGUCCGGAUUUAUUGGGCGUAAAGCGAGCGCAGGCGGAAGAAUAAGUCUGAUGUGAAAGCCCUCGGCUUAACCGAGGAACUGCAUCGGAAACUGUUUUUCUUGAGUGCAGA
rnacentral:rRNA from 1 species